rnacentral:lncRNA from 1 species
ACAGGAAUGUGUGGUGAUAUGAGCCGCAGUGCUCAUAACUGGGGCACUGCUUGUAACGUUGCUAAUCUCAUACUCCUCAGGUCACGACACAUUAUUUGCGUAGACAUCUUGGCUGAGCACAUAACGAUAUUCAGCUAAGAGCUCAUUGCAGAGAUCUGCCCAGCUGAAUUUAACCGGCAUAAGUACUUGCCUGCGAUUGGGAUAUCAUGUGAUUAGUUCUUUGCCAUGUUAAUAUACUUUGUAAGUGUGAAUAAUUCAACAUCACACAAUACACAAAACUUUAGAAACUAGAGUUAAGAUUAUAGCUCUGGUAUUAUACCUUGUAGAUUCAAAUUCCAAGUCAUUAUAUAGCAGCUAUGUAGCCUUGGUCAAACCAAUUUCUUCAUCUCUAGACGGGAUCACUACCACCACCAUCAUAACCACCACUUAUUAAGUUGUCUUGCCAGUCAAAUCAUUGGCUUAGAUCUUCAUUGGUAUAUACGUCUAUUACAUUAGCGAUCAUACAUUUAGGUCCUCUACCUCCCAGGGACAUUGCUCUUUCCACUGAGUGCCAUUGCAUUGCUACCUCUUCUUCCUGCCAGGAACAAUAUAUUGUACAUUACAUAUUUGCCUCUGCCCUUAUUUCAAUUCUUUCUAUAAGGAUGCUUUUAUGGAAGUAACCAUGUGUUCCACAAUAGGGUGCUGCCCAGUCCAUCAGUAGGGACUGUGUGGAAAACCAUAUUGUGCCCGUCUGUACAAGAUCAUACAGAUCACCAUGCUGAUUAAAAAGAUUAAGUGUUAUUUGUGAUUUUAAACCUG